GCCUCUUUUGCUUCCAUUCCAGCCGUGCAACAUCAAGAUAGAAAAGGAUCAAGUUUACUUCACCAAAUCCUACUCAAUCUUCAUCCGAUUCACACCAAACUUAAACCACCCUUAGCUUAACACUUGAGGAGUAUUUUGAGCUGCAAAAGAGAGCUGAAAAGCCACGGUUUUCUGGAGCAAAGAGUGGCCAAAAUUUCUGCCUUCAUCAUCUAAUCAAGCGCUCAAGAAGACCUUCAAGAGAAACUCGAAGUGGACGCCCAAACGCUUGUUUGAGAACUACUCGCUUGUUUUGACUAGGGUUCGAGACCAAGGGUGUUCGUGAGUAGUACUAGAUUGUUUUCUUUUGAAGAUUUUAAGUUAUAUUAUAACGGAUGGCUAUUGUACCCUUUUCCGUUGAGUUGUAUUUAAGCUUGAAAGCUACAUAAUUGUAAGUGUGAGAUAUUUGAAGUUACUUAAAGUAUUUCGAGCUUUUGAAUGAUGGAUUGUAGUGAGUCCUGGCGAGAGUUGGGCAGACGUCCCGCGGAUACCCUUUGGUUCGCCUUAGGGAGAAGUGGGGCGUCACAUAUGGUAUCAUGUUUAGGAAUUUGAUAGGCUGGAAUACUUUGCCUACCAUGGCUAGUUUGAACAAAAUAUUGAUAUCCUCGGGAUUGGAUAGCCUUUUCUUUGUUUUGAAGUUUGGGAGAAUCUCUCUGAGCUCUCAAAUAAUUGGUAUAUUCUCGAUCUGUUCUUUGAACCAU